rnacentral:rRNA from 1 species
GACGAACGCUGACGGUGUGCUUUAGACAUGCAAGUCGAGCGAGAAAGCCCUUCGGGGUUAGUAAAGCGGCGAACGGUGAGUAACACGUGGGCAAUCUGCCCCUCGCAGGGGGACAACCGGGGGAAACUCCGGCUAAUACCCCGUAAGCUAUGUGGAUCGCAUGGUUCACAUAGGAAAGGUAGCUUCGGCCAUCCGGCGAGGGAUGAGCCCGCGGUACAUUAGCUAGUUGGUGGGGUAACGCCUACCAAGGCGGCGAUGUAUAGCUGGUCUGAGAGGAUGAUCAGCCACACUGGGACUGAGACACGGCCCAGACUCCUACGGGAGGCAGCAGUCGGAAUCUUGCACAAUGGGCGAAAGCCUGAUGCAGCAACACCGUGUGAGCGA